GAUUCUGGCUCAGGAUGAACGCUAGCUACAGGCUUAACACAUGCAAGUCGAGGGGCACCAGGGAGAAAGCUUGCUUCUUGCUGGCGACCGGCGCACGGGUGAGUAACGCGUAUCCAACCUUCCCCUUAGUAGGGCAUAGCCCGGCGAAAGUCGGAUUAAUACCCUAUGUUAUCCGAAGAGGACAUCUGAAUUGGAUUAAAGAUUUAUCGCUAAGGGAUGGGGAUGCGUCUGAUUAGGUAGUCGGCGGGGUAACGGCCCACCGAGCCUACGAUCAGUAGGGGUUCUGAGAGGAAGGUCCCCCACAUUGGUACUGAGACACGGACCAAACUCCUACGGGAGGCAGCAGUGAGGAAUAUUGGUCAAUGGGCGCGAGCCUGAACCAGCCAAGUAGCGUGCAGGAUGACGGCCCUAUGGGUUGUAAACUGCUUUUAUGCGGGGAUAAAGUGCACCACGUGUGGUGUUUUGUAGGUACCGCAUGAAUAAGGACCGGCUAAUUCCGUGCCAGCCGCCGC
rnacentral:rRNA from 1 species